UUAUCCGGAAUCAUUGGGCGUAAAGCGCCUGUAGGUUGUUUAAUAAGUCUGUUGCUAAAGACUAGGGCUCAACCCUAGAAAAGCAAUGGAAACUAUUAGACUAGAGUAUGGCAGGGGUAGAGGGAAUUUCUAGUGUAGCGGUGAAAUGCGUAGAUAUUAUAAAGAACACCAGCGGCGAAAGCGCUCUACUGGACCAUUACUGACACUCAGAGGCGAAAGCUAGGGUAGCAAAAGGGAUUAGAUACCCCUGUAGUCCUAGCCGUAAACGAUGGAUACUAGAUGUUGUGCUUCCGUACAGUAUCGUAGCUAACGCGUUAAGUAUCCCGCCUGGGGAGUACGCUCGCAAGGGUGAAACUCAAAGGAAUUGACGGGGGCCCGCACAAGCGGUGGAGCAUGUGGUUUAAUUCGAUGCAACGCGAAGAACCUUACCAGGGCUUGACAUACUACAGAUUCUUUAGAGAUAGAGAAGUGCCUUCGGGAAUGUAGAUACAGGUGGUGCAUGGCUGUCGUCAGCUCGUGUCGUGAGAUGUUGGGUUAAGUCCCGCAACGAGCGCAACCCUUAUUUUUAGUUACCAAUUCGUUGGGUUCUCUAGAAAGACUGCCGGUGACAAACCGGAGGAAGGUGAGGAUGACGUCAAGUCAGCAUGCCCCUUAUGUCCUGGGCUACACACGUGCUACAAUGGUUAAGACAAAGAGUUGCGAGCUCGCAAGAGUCAGCUAAUCUCAUAAACUUAGCCUAAGUUCAGAUUGUAGGCUGCAACUCGCCCUA
rnacentral:rRNA from 1 species